GACGAACGCUAGCGGCGUGCCUAAGGUAUGCAAGUCGAGCGGACCGCAAGGUCAGCGGCGAACGGUUGAGUAACACGUAGACAACCUACCUUUCAGUGGGGGAUAACUCCGCGAAAGUGGGGCUAAUACCGCAUGUGGUGGGCAGUGGAAGCACUGCUUGACUAAAGGGUGCAAGCUCGCUGGGAGAUGGGUCUGCGGCCUAUCAGCUAGUUGGUGAGGUAACGGCNCACCAAGGCGACGACGGGUAGCUGGUCUGAGAGGAUGAUCAGCCAGACGGGGACUGAGACACGGCCCCGACUCCUCCGGGAGGCAGCAAUGAGGGAUAUUGCGCAAUGGGGGAAACCCUGACGCAGCGACGCCGCGUGGGUGAGGAAGUCCU
rnacentral:rRNA from 1 species